CCACUAUAGGCGAUUGGAUUAGCGGCGCGAUCGCCCUUGUGCCAGCAGCCGCGGUAAUUCCAGCUCCAAUAGCGUAUAUUAAAGUUGUUGCAGUUAAAACGCUCGUAGUCGGAUUUCGGGGCGGGCCGACCGGUCUGCCGAUGGGUAUGCACUGGCCGGCGCGUCCUUCCUUCCGGAGACCGUGCCUACUCUUAGCUGAGCGGGUUCGGGAGACGGAUCGUUUACUUUGAAAAAAUCAGAGUGUUUCAAGCAGGCAGCUCGCUCUUGCAUGGAUUAGCAUGGGAUAAUGAAAUAGGACUUUGGUGCUAUUUUGUUGGUUUCGAACACCGAAGUAAUGAUUAACAGGGACAGUCAGGGGCACUCGUAUUCCGUCGAGAGAGGUGAAAUUCUCAGACCAACGGAAGACGAACCACUGCGAAAGCAUUUGCCAGGGAUGUUUUCACUGAUCAAGAACGAAAGUUAGGGGAUCGAAGACGAUCAGAUACCGUCGUAGUCUUAACCAUAAACCAUGCCGACUAGGGAUUGGAGGAUGUUCCAUAUGUGACUCCUUCAGCACCUUUCGGGAAACUAAAGUCUUUGGGUUCCGGGGGGAGUAUGGUCGCAAGGCUGAAACUUAAAGGAAUUGACGGAAGGGCACCACCAGGAGUGGAGCCUGCGGCUUAAUUUGACUCAACACGGGGAAACUUACCAGGUCCAGACAUUGUGAGGAUUGACAGAUUGAGAGCUCUUUCUUGAUUCGAUGGGUGGUGGUGCAUGGCCGUUCUUAGUUGGUGGAGUGAUUUGUCUGGUUAAUUCCGUUAACGAACGAGACCGCAGCCUGCUAAAUAGUUACGUGAACUCUUCGUUCGCGGCCAACUUCUUAGAGGGACAACUUGUCUUCAACAAGUGGAAGUUUGCGGCAAUAACAGGUCUGUGAUGC
rnacentral:rRNA from 1 species